rnacentral:rRNA from 1 species
UACGUAGGGUGCGAGCGUUGUCCGGAAUUAUUGGGCGUAAAGAGCUCGUAGGCGGUGUGUCACGUCGGCCGUGAAAACCUGCAGCUUAACUGUGGGCGUGCGGUCGAUACGGGCAUCACUGGAGUUCGGCAGGGGAGACUGGAAUUCCUGGUGUAGCGGUGAAAUGCGCAGAUAUCAGGAGGAACACCGGUGGCGAAGGCGGAUCUCUGGGCCUUACCUGACGCUGAGGUGCGAAAGCGUGGGGAGCAAACAGG